CCAAGGGUUGGACUACACUAGAUGGACACGAGAAUACUGAAAGACAACCAAAGCUAUAUAAGUAGAGGACAGAGGGGAGGGGGAGACGGAUACCCCCGAUUACGCCAAGCCCAACAACUUAUCACUCACUGAAUGCUAAUAACGCGUAUCCAGACAAGACAUAAAAACGCCAAGAAUAACGAUUGAUGUAAUGCGUUAUGUUUCACCCGAAACAGAUCAAAAUGCUUUCAAACACAAUUCGGGCCUGCGAGCCCGAGACACAAUUUAUGUCUGUA